GGAAAGAUGCCGGAGUGGUCGAUCGGGACGGUCUCGAAAACCGUUGUACUCUUACGGGUACCCAGGGUUCGAAUCCCUGUCUUUCCG
rnacentral:tRNA from 2 species